rnacentral:rRNA from 1 species
GGAGGAUCCAAGCGUUAUCCGGAAUCAUUGGGUUUAAAGGGUCCGUAGGCGGCCUUAUAAGUCAGUGGUGAAAUCUCCUAGCUCAACUAGGAAACUGCCAUUGAUACUGUAGGGCUUGAAUUUUUAGGAAGUAACUAGAAUAUGUAGUGUAGCGGUGAAAUGCUUAGAUAUUACAUGGAAUACCAAUUGCGAAGGCAGGUUACUACUAAUGGAUUGACGCUGAUGGACGAAAGCGUGGGUAGCGAACAGGAUUAGAUACCCUGGUAGUCCACGCCGUAAACGAUGGAUACUAGCUGUUCGGUCUUCGGACUGAGUGGCUAAGCGAAAGUGAUAAGUAUCCCACCUGGGGAGUACGCACGCAAGUGUG